rnacentral:lncRNA from 11 species
GUUGUCCCUCCAUAGCAGCAACUAGACAAAGUUCCAAUACAUUGUUGAAUCUGCAAAGGGGAGAGCUGACUGAUACUUCUAGUUUAGUAAGUGCUGCAUUUCUACUACAAAAAGUGUCAUAUAGUAUUGGAUCUCCAAAGCAGAGUAAACAAAUUGGCAAAGCAGAAGCUGAACCACCACUCCUGACAAAACAGAGAUGAGAAAGAAAGAAAGAAAGAAAGAAAGAAAGAAAGAAAGAAAGAAAGAAAGAAAGAAAGAAAGAAAGACUCUGAGUAGCGUGUGAAAAGCCAGAGUUUAGCCCAUUCCUGAAGAACCUAAAAGAAAGAUUGGGCUCCACCUAUUUUUUUCACAAAUUAUAAGAAAUA